UCGAACGGGAGAAGAGAAGAUCACAACGGGAUGAAGCUUGGAGUUGGUUGGGAGAUAGGAUAAGGAUGGAACGAUGUGGAGGAAACCUGGGAGAAGGUGACGUGGAGAAUAAAAAAGAUUUUAGUUGGAGAUGAUAUCAUGAGACAUGAGGUCGGCUGAGAAGUCUUGGGAUGACCCUGUUCUUUGGACAUGGAACAGGGGAGAUUGGGAAUGCUUAGAAGACAUUAUGACGUGGUGGAAGAAUAGGGAGAUGAUGUGUAAGAUUUGAUGUGGAUGGCUUGUACAUGGAAUUUUAGGAAGACUUUGAAUAGCUAAUCGUAGAUGUGAUAAUGAUCAGAUAGUACAACGUAACGAAAGUUUGAACUCGAUUGGAUGCGAAAGAAACAGGGAAGUGGGGCUGGACCAAGGUGCAUGUCAUUCGGGUUCAGGGAUCAUCCGAAAAAGUUUGACUCGACCUGCAUAUAUUAGAUUCGACCUGCAUACAUUAGGCUCAAUUAAUAAAUAACUAAAUCAAACUCGAAUUAAUUUAUGCAAUGAUGAGGGUAACACAUUUUUUUAGUU
rnacentral:lncRNA from 1 species